AACGCACAUUGCGCCCCCUGGCAAUCCGGGGGGCAUGCCCGUUCGAGCGUCAUUAUACCCCCUCAAGCCCCGCUUGGUGUUGGGCGCCCGGGGACCUCCCCGCGCCCCAAAUUUGAUGGCCGGUCGCCGUCGCCCCUGCCGCGUUGUGGCCUCAUGUGCUCGCGGCGGAGCGGACGGCGGGUCGCGCUGUUAAAACGCGCCCUCUGGGCUUUCCAGGUUGACCUCGGAUCGGGCAGGGAUACCCGCUGAACUUAA
rnacentral:misc_RNA from 1 species